UGUCCAAAAUCCGGGAUGCUAAGGCUGAGAACUGAUGACGAGUGUUCCUCGGAACAUGAAGUGCUUGAUGCCAUGCUUCCAAGAAAAGCCUCUAAGCUUCAGGUAAAAAGAGACCGUACUCCAAACCGACACAGGUGAUCAGGUAGAGAAUACCAAGGCGCUUGAGAGAACUCGGGUGAAGGAACUAGGCAAAAUGGCACCGUAACUUCGGGAGAAGGUGCACCGCUUUUGGUGAUGGGAUUUACUCCCUAAGCUGAGGGCGGUCGAAGAUACCAGGCCCCUGCAACUGUUUAUUAAAAACACAGCACUCUGCAAACACGUAAGUGGACGUAUAGGGUGUGACGCCUGCCCGGUGCCGGAAGGUUAAUUGAUGGGGUUAGCGCAAGCGAAGCUCUUGAUCGAAGCCCCGGUAAACGGCGGCCGUAACUAUAACGGUCCUAAGGUAGCGAAAUUCCUUGUCGGGUAAGUUCCGACCUGCACGAAUGGCGUAAUGAUGGGGGCGCUGUCUCCACCCGAGACUCAGUGAAAUUGAAAUCGCGGUUAAGAUGCCGUGUACCCGCGGCUAGACGGAAAGACCCCGUGAACCUUUACUAUAGCUUUGCACUGAACUUUGAACCUAUCUGUGUAGGAUAGGUGGGAGGCUUUGAAGUCGAGACGCUAGUUUCGAUGGAGCCGUCCUUGAAAUACCACCCUGGUAUGUUUGAGGUUCUAACGUCGGCCCCUUAUCGGGGUUACGGACAGUGUAUGGUGGGUAGUUUGACUGGGGCGGUCUCCUCCCAAAGAGUAACGGAGGAGCACGAAGGUGUGCUAAUCAUGGUCGGAAAUCAUGAGGUUAGUGUAAAGGCAAAAGCACGCUUGACUGCGAGACAGACAUGUCGAGCAGGUACGAAAGUAGGUCUUAGUGAUCCGGUGGUUCUGUAUGGAAGGGCCAUGGCUCAACGGAUAAAAGGUACUCCGGGGAUAACAGGCUGAUACCGCCCAAGAGUUCACAUCGACGGCGGUGUUUGGCACCUCGAUGUCGGCUCAUCACAUCCUGGGGCUGAAGCCGGUCCCAAGGGUAUGGCUGUUCGCCAUUUAAAGUGGUACGCGAGCUGGGUUUAGAACGUCGUGAGACAGUUCGGUCCCUAUCUGCCGUGGGCGUUGGAGAUUUGAGAAGAGUUGUUCCUAGUACGAGAGGACCGGAAUGAACGAACCUCUGGUGUUCGGGUUGUCAUGCCAAUGGCAUUGCCCGGUAGCUACGUUCGGACGGGAUAACCGCUGAAAGCAUCUAAGCGGGAAGCCUCCUUCAAGAUGAGAUCUCCCUGGGACUUUAAGUCCCCUAAAGAGCCGUUGAAGACUACGACGUUGAUAGGUUGGGUGUGGAAGCGCAGCGAUGCGUUGAGCUAACCAAUACUAAUUGCUCGUGCGGCUUGACCG
rnacentral:rRNA from 1 species